rnacentral:rRNA from 1 species
GACGAACGCUGGCGGCGUGCCUAAUACAUGCAAGUAGAACGCUGAAGCUUGGUGCUUGCACCGAGCGGAAGAGGUGCGAACGGGUGAGUAACGCGUAGGUAACCUGCCUGGUAGCGGGGUAUAACUAGUGGAAACGAUAGCUAAUACGGCAUAAGAGUAGAUGGUGCAGUAGGUUUGCUUAAAAGGUGGAAGUUCAUGACGACCAGAUGGACCUGCGGUGUAUUAGCUAGUUGGUGAGGUAACGGCUCACCAAGGGAAAGAUACAUAGCCGACCGGAGAGGGCGAUCGGCCAGACUGGGAGUGUGACACGCCACAGAGGCCUAGGGGAGGGACCCGUAGUGAAUCGGCGGCAAGGGACGGAAGACUGAGCGAGAAACGCCGAGUGAGUGAAGAAGGAUUUCGGAUCGUAGAGCUCGGUUGUCAGAGAAGAAAGCGUGUGAGAGUGGAACGUUGCCACUGUGACGGUAACUUAUAAGAAAGGGACGGCUAACUACGUG